UACAGAGGGUGCAAGCGUUAAUCGGAAUUACUGGGCGUAAAGCGCACGUAGGCGGCUAUUCAAGUCGGGGGUGAAAGCCCGGGGCUCAACCCCGGAACUGCCCUCGAAACUAGAUAGCUAGAAUCUUGGAGAGGCGAGUGGAAUUCCGAGUGUAGAGGUGAAAUUCGUAGAUAUUCGGAAGAACACCAGUGGCGAAGGCGACUCGCUGGACAAGUAUUGACGCUGAGGUGCGAAAGCGUGGGGAGCAAACAGG
rnacentral:rRNA from 1 species